UUAAACUACAGCAGGUUGAAAUGAGAGCUGAGAAUGACAGAGAGAGCAGGUACUGACCUCCAUACUAAAAGAUGUACAACAAAGGCAUUUGCUCUAAGUUCUCAUGGAAAGCCUUUUAGACAAAUUAAUUAAGCAAUAAGACAUGACAGGGUGUGAAUCGCUUGGUAAUGAUUUACGCCUAUUGUGUUGUUAGGCAGAAGGCCAAAGGCCGAGUGCUGUCAAAUCACCUAGGUGUAAAUUAUCAUUUGAUAAUUUGAGCCCUGGAGUGCGUUACUGUAAUUAGAAGGUGUUCUAUCAUAAGUUUUCUACUUCAUUCAAUUUUUUUUUUCGAUUCUCAGCUCCAUUUUGAUACUUAGAAUGCUAUCAUUAAAAAUGAAACCUUUUCUUGCAAGAUUAUUUCAGACAACUACUAGCCUGAGAGACUUUACACAAACCCUGUCAUAUACCACAAUGCAUAGCAGAUAAGUCAAUGCAGGCAUGUCAUCAAUGUAAUUUAAUCACCGUGCCUUCAUUCAUAAAGCCAGUUACAGACAAAGGGAGGUAUUAGGGUUGUAGGGGAAUGUGCAAUCAAAAUUAGUCGGAAGUUAGGUGCAGAGUCAAUGAAGAGGAAUGAGGCAGCUGCAAUUUCUCUUUUCAAAUUAAAUAGCACAAAAAGAUGGAGAGAUAAUAACAUGAAUUCUUCCAAGUUCCAGCAUCCAGACAGCUGCAGAAACCACAAGAAAUCCACUCCAAAGCUUGAGUAUUCAAACUGAGAGAAUUAAAGUCUAGCAAGGGCUGUUCAAUGCAAAGAAGUGAACACCAUCUCUAACUCUGGAAAUUCAUACAAUGCAGUUUAUUGGAAGAAGGUUAUCACUGCCUGCUUGUCUACUUGUUCUGUGUUUCUGGAGAUGGGAUAUUUAAGUAGCAGGAUCUCCAAUUUGAUCAAAUUUGCCAUUCAUAGGUACUUAGGGUCAUUGAUUACAUGUACUGAGCAGAAAAAAGGUAUUUUCAAGUCUGGCAGAGAAAUGGAUGUCAUGACAGUCUCUUUUUGCCUCUUGUCUCAUCUGUGGCUCCAACAUAGGGAAAAAUAUUUUAUCAAAUCCAGCUAUUGUUUCCUAAACAUUAACCAAGAUCACACUUAUAUGCAAUAGAACAUCCUUAAUGUUCUUGCAUGACUACAUGACAGCAGCCUUCACUGCAGAAUUCCUAACACUGGAACAAUUCCCACUGAGAAGAAGCAGUCCCACGAUGGCAGUACCAGGGUGAAAUGUUAAGGUCAAUCAAGAGAACAUCUUUCUGAGCAUUAGACACACUCAGAAAAAGAAAAUUUUAUUACUGGUCAGCCAUGAUUUCAAAACCUGUUUGCAAGAAACUGUCUUGUAAGGGAUAUAACUGUAAAAACAGAACAGGUCAAAUUUGUUCUGAAAAAUGAUAGGUCUUAAAAUUAUUUUUCUGGAGUUUACUUUUGAUGUUUGCUUAUCAGUGGCAUAUGCUCUUUUUUUUUUUUUUUUUUUUUUUUUUUUUUUUUUUUUGUUGAGAUUCUUUUUGCAUCUAGUUUUUUCCAUACAUUUUUGUAUUGUCACAAAAGCUGCCACACAUCCACAUUGCAUUUAUUUAAUCAGAAGGAUUCAGAUAGCAUGAUACUUGGUUUUACUGUCUGUCUAGUAUAUUAUUAGUAGGUUAGGGUUUGGAAAAGUGACAGAGAAACAGAUGUUGGGAUUAUUUUAUGUAGCUUGAAUACCAUAAUGAUAUACAGUUGUCAGAAGCAUCUAUUUUCUUAUUUUAGGAAGAUGAUUAUUUAAUGGCUUGACUUUUUAUAACCCAGAGGGGAGAGGAAAAUAAAAUGAAGGACCUGAGGAAAAUAUCUAAGGAAGGAGUGAUGAAUGUUUAGUCUGUGCAUAAAAGUUUAUGCAGAACAUGUGCAAUUUAUGAAAUUGUUCUAAGGGAAUAAUCCUGGCUGUGCCUGUUUCCCUCACAGAUACAUAUUUAAUGAAAUAAGGUAAAAUAAAUCUAUGGUCUCAUGAUUUGCAUGUCCUUGGUUUGCUGUAAAGCAUGAUGGGAAGGAGACACGAUAUUUCUUAGAUGCAGCCUAAUAAUGUAACAUGCAGAGGUUACUCCCUUUCUCAGAAGGAAACAGAAGGCUUGGAAAUGAAGAUUUUGGACAUGCUUGCCAUGGCUUCAUUCCCUUUUUGCUAUGCUUAUCCAUCACAGUGGGGAAAAUGAUCUAGCUGGUGUGCAAAGGACAAAGGUCAAAAAAACUUCAUUUUUUUUUCCUACAUUUAGUGUCUUAGUUUUGGACUUUCAGCUAUGAAAUAAUAAGACCAAGUUUUCUUUUAGUUGCUCAUGAGUUUGCUUGCUUUGUUUUCUGGCCACCUGCUCAAAUGACAUUUUUAGGAAGAAACUGAGGGACAGUGGAAAUAUUAUGAAAAGGACAUAGCUCCCACAGCCUUGGUGCAUACCUUUAGGAAUGAAUAUCCAUUUCUACCUUUCUUUACCUCUAAUUCCUCUUUUCCUGCCUAUUUCCUCACUUCAUGUUAAUACCAGAUGUGGAAAGAAUUCAAUAUCUGGUAAGACAAUUACAUAUAGUUCCCAUCACUAUAAUUAAAGUCUAAAUAGUGCAGGCACUCAGCUAUUUCUGGAGGUGAAAUAAGUCUCAAAAAUUAGUUCCUUGAGCAGUGGGGAAACCAAUAUCUGUAUAUUUUUCAUUGAGCAUUCAGAGUAGGCAUGGAUACCUCAACCACAGACAUCUGUGGAAACAUUCUGGGGGAAAAAAAUCGAGAAAACAGAGUUGUGUGUGGAUUGGUGUGGCUCUGAGUCCAAUGUGGGGAGAAACUUCCCUGCAUGUACAUGCACAUUCACAUGCAGACACACGUGCACAGAGAGAGAUGUUCUGUGACUUCUGAAAUCUCUUAUUUAACAAAAUAGAGAAGAUGAAUUAUGAGUCUUCAAAAAGCACAUGAAAUUGGGGAUGAAUAGAGUAACUGCACAGGAUGAUAUAGUCAAGUAAAUCCUUAGGAAAUUUGUGAAGAUCUUUAUUAUUAAUAUCAAAUAUUCUCUUUUCUUGUUAAAGGCAUAAAUCUCUGUAAUGAAAUAGAGUUCAUCACCUCUGGAUUUAUAUUCUUAGCAGGGGUUUAGAUAUUUAUGGAUGCCUCCCAAAAAAUCUAAGAGGUAAUAAAGAAGUACUGAUCUAAUAAAGUCAACAGGUAGUUGAUGCAACAUUUGAAUUUAGGCUUCACUAUGUAAUUACAAGGUUUCAGCAUAUAAUAUACAGAACUGCCUCUGGACAUUCAUCAGAAGUGUCUCCUUUUGAUUCACUUACCUAGCCAUUUGUUUCUAUCUAGUAUUACUCAAUUCAUAGGCAACUGGGAAAGGAGGUAUCUGUUAGUAAAAUUAUUUUAAUUAAGAUAUUUAAGAAGCAGAACAUGCAUUUUUUCCAUGAAGUUUUAAUCAAAAAGCACUGUACAUCAUGCUUUAAAGCAACAAUGGUUAUUGCCAGUAUUACCAUAAGAUUAUUAGAUUAAUCACCGAUCAUAUUAUUUAUUCUUUCUUCUCUCUCCUUUUAUUUACUUUAAAAUAUUAAUUUCAUGGGUGUUAUUGAUGGUGAAGAACAAAGAAAAGAAAGUCAGCUGAGUCUCCACUGCUCCAGUGCUCCAAUUCUGUUUUCACAGGAGCAAGUUUUUAUUAUUCGGCUAUGCCCAGCCAUUUUUU
ensembl:lncRNA